GCAGGGUGCAGUGGCAUGUGCCCAUUAGUCCCAGCUACUUGGGAGGCUGAGGUGGGAGGAUCACUUGAGCCCAGGAGUUCUGGGCUGUUGUGUGCCAUGCCAAUCGGGUGUCCAAACUAAGAUCAGCAUCAAUAUGGUGACCUCCCGGGAGCGGAGAACUACCAGGUUGCCUAAGGAGGGGUGAAUCAGCCCAGGUAGGAAAUGGAGCAGGUCAAUAGUGGGAUUACGCCUGUGAAUAGCCACUGCACUCCAACCUGGGCAAUAUAGCAAGACCCCGUCUCUU
ensembl:misc_RNA Metazoa_SRP Metazoan signal recognition particle RNA